rnacentral:rRNA from 1 species
AUUGAACGCUGGCGGCAGGCCUAACACAUGCAAGUCGAGCGGCAGCGGGAAAGUAGCUUGCUACUUUUGCCGGCGAGCGGCGGACGGGUGAGUAAUGCCUGGGGAUCUGCCCAGUCGAGGGGGAUAACUACUGGAAACGGUAGCUAAUACCGCAUACGCCCUACGGGGGAAAGCAGGGGACCUUCGGGCCUUGCGCGAUUGGAUGAACCCAGGUGGGAUUAGCUAGUUGGUGAGGUAAUGGCUCACCAAGGCGACGAUCCCUAGCUGGUCUGAGAGGAUGAUCAGCCACACUGGAACUGAGACACGGUCCAGACUCCUACGGGAGGCAGCAGUGGGGAAUAUUGCACAAUGGGGGAAACCCUGAUGCAGCCAUGCCGCGUGUGUGAAGAAGGCCUUCGGGUUGUAAAGCACUUUCAGCGAGGAGGAAAGGUUGGUAGCUACUAACUGCCAGCUGUGACGUUACUCGCAGAAGAAGCACCGGCUAACUCCGUGCCAGCAGCCGCGGUAA